GGGUGUGAGAGUGAUCUGGCUGCAACAUCUGUCGCCCCAUUGAUUGCCAGGCUGGCGUCAUUAGUUCUGACUGGCUGGGCUAGGGACUCCUUCCUGCCUUACCUUCCCAUGUACAUCUUUUCUUGAGCUGCAUGCCAUCAAGGCAUCCUUCUGUAAUAGGGUGAACCACUCUCCAGAGACGAGUGCAAUUAUUAUCAGGGAAUAACCCCACUGGCUUCAAGAACCCCCUUAACUAAUCUCUUAGUUCUGA
rnacentral:sRNA from 1 species